GAACCGCGAAGGCUCAGUAUAUCGGCUGUAUUCAUUAGAUCAUAUACUCAGUUACUUGGAUAACUGUGGAAAAUCUAGAGCUAAUACAUGCAUUAAUGCACGAACCGCAAGGAACGUGUGCAAUUAUUAGACAAACCAAGCGAUACUUUUAGUAUCGAUUUACGGUGGAACUCUAGAUAAUUUUGCUGAUCGUAUGGUCUUGUACCGACGACAGAUCUUUCAAAUGUCUGCCCUAUCAACUAUUGAUGGUAGUAUAGAGGACUACCAUGGUAGCAACGGGUAACGAGGAAUCAGGGUUCGAUUUCGGAGAGGCAGCAUGAGAAACGGCUACCACAUCUAAGGAAGGCAGCAGGCGCGUAAAUUACCCAUUACCAGUACGGUGAGGUAGUGACGAAAAAUAACAAUACAGGACUCUUUAUGAUGUCCUGUAAUUGGAAUGAGUUUAUCAUAAAUCCUUUAACGAGGAUCAAGUGGAGGGCAAGUCUGGUGCCAGCAGCCGCGGUAAUUCCAGCUCCACUAGCGUAUAUUAAAAUUGUUGCGGUUAAAACGUUCGAAGUUUGAUUUUGUCCAGCACGGGUAUUACACCAUAAGUUUUUGGUUGUAAAUUACUUUUGAUGCUAGGACUAUAAGUUUGUGGCACCUAUAUAAUUCUUUAAUGGGAUUGUAUAGGCAAAAUGUGUAUAGUGUGCCUUUAAUCGGGUGUAUUAUAUCGCAUGCCCAACUAUUAAUUACCUUGAACAAAUUAGAGUGCUCAAAGCAGGCUUUUAUUGCCUUGAAUAAUCUUGCAUGGAAUAAUGGAAUAAGACCUCGAUCUAUAUAUUUCAUUGGUUUGAAUUGAUCAUGAGGUAAUGAUAAUAAAAGCAGUUGGGGGCAUUAGUAUUACGACGCGAGAGGUGAAAUUCA
rnacentral:rRNA from 1 species